AACGAACGCUGGCGGCAUGCCUAACACAUGCAAGUCGAACGAGACCUUCGGGUCUAGUGGCGCACGGGUGCGUAACGCGUGGGAACCUGCCCUUAGGUUCGGAAUAACUCCCCGAAAGGGGUGCUAAUACCGGUUAAUGUCUUCGGACCAAAGAUUUAUCGCCUUUGGAUGGGCCCGCGUUGGAUUAGCUAGUUGGUAGGGUAAAAGCCUACCAAGGCGACGAUCCAUAGCUGGUCUGAGAGGAUGAUCAGCCACACUGGGACUGAGACACGGCCCAGACUCCGACGGGAGGCAGCAGUGGGGAAUAUUGGACAAUGGGCGAAAGCCUGAUCCAGCAAUGCCGCGUGAGUGAUGAAGGCCUUAGGGUUGUAAAGCUCUUUUACCCGGGAUGAUAAUGACAGUACCGGGAGAAUAAGCUCCGGCUAACUCCGUG
rnacentral:rRNA from 1 species